UACGUAGGGUGCGAGCGUUAAUCGGAAUUACUGGGCGUAAAGCGUGCGCAGGCGGUUUGUUAAGACAGAUGUGAAAUCCCCGGGCUUAACCUGGGAACUGCAUUUGUGACUGGCAAGCUAGAGUAUGGCAGAGGGGGGUAGAAUUCCACGUGUAGCAGUGAAAUGCGUAGAGAUGCGGAGGAAUACCGAUGGCGAAGGCAGCCCCCUGGGCCAAUACUGACGCUCAUGCACGAAAGCGUGGGGAGCAAACAGG
rnacentral:rRNA from 1 species